CACUCCUGCGGGAGGCAGCAGUGAGGAAUAUUGGACAAUGGGUGGAAGCCUGAUCCAGCCAUCCCGCGUGCAGGAAGACGGCCCUAUGGGUUGUAAACUGCUUUUAUCUGGGGAUAAACCUACUUACGUGUAAGUAGCUGAAGGUACCAGAAGAAUAAGCACCGGCUAACUCCGUGCCAGCAGCCGCGGUAAUACGGAGGGUGCAAGCGUUAUCCGGAUUUAUUGGGUUUAAAGGGUCCGUAGGCGGACUGAUAAGUCAGUGGUGAAAUCCGACAGCUUAACUGUCGAACUGCCAUUGAUACUGUUAGUCUUGAGUAAGGUUGAAGUGGCUGGAAUAAGUAGUGUAGCGGUGAAAUGCAUAGAUAUUACUUAGAACACCAAUUGCGAAGGCAGGUCACUAAGUCUUAACUGACGCUGAUGGACGAAAGCGUGGGGAGCGAACAGGAUUAGAAACCCUAGUAGUCCCAUGAU
rnacentral:rRNA from 1 species